GAUGAACGCUGGCGGCGUGCCUAAUACAUGCAAGUCGAGCGAACAGACGAGGAGCUUGCUCCUUUGACGUUAGCGGCGGACGGGUGAGUAACACGUGGAUAACCUACCUAUAAGACUGGGAUAACUUUGGGAAACCGGAGCUAAUACCGGAUAACAUGUUGAACCGCAUGGUUCAACAGUGAAAGACGGUCUUGCUGUCACUUAUAGAUGGAUCCGCGCCGCAUUAGCUAGUUGGUAAGGUAACGGCUUACCAAGGCAACGAUGCGUAGCCGACCUGAGAGGGUGAUCGGCCACACUGGAACUGAGACACGGUCCAGACUCCUACGGGAGGCAGCAGUAGGGAAUCUUCCGCAAUGGGCGAAAGCCUGACGGAGCAACGCCGCGUGAGUGAAGAAGGUCUUCGGAUCGUAAAACUCUGUUAUUAGGGAAGAACAAAUGUGUAAGUAACUAUGCACGUCUUGACGGUACCUAAUCAGAAAGCCACGGCUAACUACGUG
rnacentral:rRNA from 1 species